GUCUAUGGCCAUGACACCCUGAACAAGCCUAAUCCCAUCUGAUCUCAGAAACUAAGCAGGGUCGAGCCUGGUUAGUACUUGGAUGGGAGACCACUUAGGAAGACCAGGUGCUGUAGGUG
rnacentral:rRNA from 1 species